rnacentral:rRNA from 1 species
GACGAACGCUGGCGGCGUGCUUAACACAUGCAAGUCGAACGGGAAGGCCCUGCUUUUGUGGGGUGCUCGAGUGGCGAACGGGUGAGUAACACGUGAGUAACCUGCCCUUGACUUUGGGAUAACUUCAGGAAACUGGGGCUAAUACCGGAUAGGAGCUCCUGCUGCAUGGUGGGGGUUGGAAAGUUUCGGCGGUUGGGGAUGGACUCGCGGCUUAUCAGCUUGUUGGUGGGGUAGUGGCUUACCAAGGCUUUGACGGGUAGCCGGCCUGAGAGGGUGACCGGCCACAUUGGGACUGAGAUACGGCCCAGACUCCUUCGGGAGGCAGCAGUGGGGAAUAUUGCACAAUGGGCGGAAGCCUGAUGCAGCAACGCCGCGUGCGGGAUGACGGCCUUCGGGUUGUAAACCGCUUUCGCCUGUGACGAAGCGUGAGUGACGGUAAUGGGUAAAGAAGCACCGGCUAACUACGUG